AAUACCACCCUUUAAUGUUUGAUGUUCUAACGUGGACCCGUAAUCCGGGUUGCGGACAGUGUCUGGUGGGUAGUUUGACUGGGGCGGUCUCCUCCUAAAGAGUAACGGAGGAGCACGAAGGUUGGCUAAUCCUGGUCGGACAUCAGGAGGUUAGUGCAAUGGCAUAAGCCAGCUUGACUGCGAGCGUGACGGCGCGAGCAGGUGCGAAAGCAGGUCAUAGUGAUCCGGUGGUUCUGAAUGGAAGGGCCAUCGCUCAACGGAUAAAAGGUACUCCGGGGAUAACAGGCUGAUACCGCCCAAGAGUUCAUAUCGACGGCGGUGUUUGGCACCUCGAUGUCGGCUCAUCACAUCCUGGGGCUGAAGUAGGUCCCAAGGGUAUGGCUGUUCGCCAUUUAAAGUGGUACGCGAGCUGGGUUUAGAACGUCGUGAGACAGUUCGGUCCCUAUCUGCCGUGGGCGCUGGAGAACUGAGGGGGGCUGCUCCUAGUACGAGAGGACCGGAGUGGACGCAUCACUGGUGUUCGGGUUGUCAUGCCAAUGGCACUGCCCGGUAGCUAAAUGCGGAAGAGAUAAGUGCUGAAAGCAUCUAAGCACGAAACUUGCCCCGAGAUGAGUUCUCCCUGAGACUUAG
rnacentral:rRNA from 1 species